GGCCCGUUAGUCAAGUGGUCUAAGACCCCGGCCUCUCACGCCGGUGACAUGGGUUCGAAUCCCGUACGGGUCACCA
rnacentral:tRNA from 1 species